rnacentral:rRNA from 1 species
AUUGAACGCUGGCGGCAUGCUUUACACAUGCAAGUCGAACGGCAGCGCGGGGCAACCUGGCGGCGAGUGGCGAACGGGUGAGUAAUAUAUCGGAACGUACCCAGAAGUGGGGGAUAACGUAGCGAAAGUUACGCUAAUACCGCAUACGAUCUACGGAUGAAAGUGGGGGACCUUCGGGCCUCAUGCUUGUGGGGCGGCCGAUAUCUGAUUAGCUAGUUGGUAGGGUAAAGGCCUACCAAGGCAACGAUCAGUCGCUGGUCUGAGAGGACGACCAGCCACACUGGGACUGAGACGCGGCCCAGACUCCUACGGGAGGCAGCAGUGGGGAAGUUUGGACAAUGGGAGCAAGCCUGAUCCAGCAAUGCCGCGUGAGUGAAGAAGGCCUUCGGGUUGUAAAGCUCUUUUGUCAGGGAAGAAACGGCUCGAGCUAAUAUCUUGGGCUAAUGACGGUACCUGAAGAAUAAGCACCGGCUAACUACGUGCCAGCAGCCGCAGUAAGAC